UGUUUUUUUUAUUUUAUUUUAUUGUGAAACAAACAAAAUAACAGAAAAAGUCAAUGUGCAUAACUAUUCACCCUCCUAAAGUGAAUACUUUGUAGAGCCACAUUUUGCGGCAAUCACAGCUCCAAGUCGUUUUGAAUAAGUCUCUAUGAGCUUGCCACAUCUUACCACUGGGAUUUUUGCCCAUUCCUCCUUGCAAAACUGCUCCAGCUCCUUCAAGUUGGAUGGUUUGCGCUUGUGAACAGCAAUCUAAGUCUGACCACAGAUUUUCUAUUGAAUUGAGGUUUGGGCUUUGACUAGGCCAUUCCAACACAUUUACAUGUUUCCCCUUAAACCACUCAAGUGUUACUUUAGCAAUGUGUUUGGAUUCAUUGUCCUGCUGGAAGGUGAACCUCCGUCCUAGCCUCAAAUAUCACACAGAGUGGUACAGGUUUUGCUCAAGAAUAUCCCUGUAUUUAGCACCAUUCAUCUUUCCCUCAACUCUGACCAGUUUCCCAGUCCUGCCUGCUGAAAAACAUCCCCACAGCAUGAUGCUGCCACCACCAUGUUACACAGUGGGGAUGGUGUUCUUUGGGUGAUGCGAUGUGUUGGUUUUGUGCCAGACAUAUCGUUUUCUGUGAUGGACGAAAAGUUCAAAUUUAGUCUCAUCAGACCAGAGCACCUUCUUCCAUACAUUUUGAGAGUCUCCCACAUGCCUUUUCGCAAAAUUUAAAACGUGCCAUUUUGUUCUGUGGAGCGUACAGCUUAUUGUCAUCUUAUGUACAGAUACUCCAGUCUCUGCUGUGGAACUCUGCAUCUCCUCCAGGAUUACCUUAGGUCUCCGUGCUGCCUCUCUGAUUAAUGCCCUCCUUGCCCGGUCCGUGAGUUUUGGUGGGCGGCCGUCUCUUGGCAGGUUUGCUGUUGUGCCAUGUUCUUUCCAUUUGGUUAUGAUAGAUUUGAUGGUGCUCCUGGAGAUCAUCAAAGAUUUGGAUAUUUUUUUAUAACCUAACCCUGAUUUCUUAACAACAUUGCCCCUUACUUGUUUGGAGAGUUCCUUGGUCUUCAUGGCAGUGUUUGGUUAAUGGUGCCUCUUGCUUAGGUGUUGCAGCCUCUGGGGCCUUUCAAAAAACGUGUAUAUAUGUAAUGACAGACCAUGUGAUGCUUAGAUUGCACACAGGUGGACAUCAUUUCACUAAUUAUGUGACUUCUGAAGGUAAUUGGUUGCACCAGAGCUUUUUAUGGGCUUCAUAACAAAGGGGGUGAAUACAUACGCACAUGCCAAAUUUUCUGUUUUCUAGUUCUAAAAAAUAGUUUUAUGUAUAUAUUUUUCUCAUUUCACUUCACCAACUUAGACUAUUGUGUUCUGAUCCAUCACAUAAAAUUCAGAUUAUAAAACAUUGAACUUAAGGCUGUAAUGCAACAAAAUAGGUAACAAGUCAAGGGGGUGAAUACUUUUGCAAGGCACUGUAU